rnacentral:rRNA from 1 species
CGCGGUAAUACAGAGGGGGCAAGCGUUAUUCGGAAUUAUUGGGCGUAAAGGGCGCGUAGGCGGUGUUUUAAGUGAGAUGUGCAAUCCCCGAGCUUAACUUGGGAACUGCAUCUCAGACUGGAACGCUAGAGUACUGGAGAGGGUGGUAGAAUUCCACGUGUAGCGGUGAAAUGCGUAGAGAUGUGGAGGAAUACCAGUGGCGAAGGCGGCCACCUGGACAGUAACUGACGCUGAGGCGCGAAAGUGUGGGUAGCAAACAGGAUUAGAUACCCUGGUAGUCCACGCUGUAAACGAUGAACACUUGGUGUGGCGGGAGUUGACCCCUGCCGUGCCGUAGCUAACGCGAUAAGUGUUCCGCCUGGGGAGUACGGUCGCAAGGCUGAAACUCAAAGGAAUUGACGGGGGCCCGCACAAGCGGUGGAGCAUGUGGUUUAAUUCGACGCAACGCGAAGAACCUUACCUGGGCUUGAACUGCAGUGGACCGGUUCAGAGAUGAGCCUUUUCGCAAGAACUGCUGCAGAGGUGCUGCAUGGCUGUCGUCAGCUCGUAUCGUGAGAUGUUGGGUUAAGUCCCGCAACGAGCGCAACCCUUACUGUUAGUUGCCAGCGCGUCAUGGCGGGAACUCUAGCAGGACUGCCCGGGUUAACCGGGAGGAAGGCGGGGAUGAUGUCAAGUCCUCAUGGCCCUUAUGUCCAGGGCUACACACGUGCUACAAUGGCAGAUACAAACCGUUGCAAAGCCGCGAGGUGGAGCUAAUCGGAGAAAGUCUGCCUCAGUUCGGAUUGCAGUCUGCAACUCGACUGCAUGAAGGUGGAAUCGCUAGUAAUCGUGUAUCAGAAUGAUACGGUGAAUACGUUCCCGGGCCUUGUACACACCGCCCGUCACAUCACGAAAGCCGGGAGCACUUGAAGA